GUGAAUAUAGCUCAGUCGUAGAGCACAUGCUUGGCACACACAAGGUCUGUGGUUCAAUUCCCAGUACUUCCA
rnacentral:tRNA from 1 species